rnacentral:lncRNA from 1 species
GACCAUGCUUGUAUACUGAUUAGAUUGGAGAAGAGAGAAAUAGAAGGAAUGAUUCAUGAAGCAGGAUGUCUAAGAAGAUGGAAAAAAAUGGGAUGGAUGCAAGGUGCAAACUCCACAAUAGCAAAGACUACGACAGUUUUGCUAAGAAAUUCUGUAUCUUAGAAGAUCCUCAAGAAAUAUUUUGAGUAAAUAAAGAGACUGGAUAUAGUUCCCUGUGGUGUAUAGUAGGAUAAAGACUACAUUUCCGAGGGUAAGUGAAACAAAAAACAAUUUGCUCCCUUUCUCAAGCACAGUAGUGUGACAUAAUAAGAAAUACAUAUGUGGUCUCUGCCCCUGAUUCCUGGCACAGAGUUCCUAAAACCCUUGUAAUUGCUUGAGUGAAGAGGUGCUAGGAGCAU